CCAUUGUACGCGAGUGAAGUGUUUUGUUACCAAAAUGGGUUUUUCGUGUGCUCUCAAGAGUUGUGAUUCAACGUACAGUCGAAAGUCCCGUCUGGGCGUGUCGUUCCACAGAUUCCCUACAGAUACUGUGAUGGCCGCGCAAUGGAUGGCAAGUUUAAAGCAGAAUUAUCAAGAAUUGAAACAAAAUAGAGAAACAGCUAUUUGUUUCCGACACUUUUCGAACUGCUGCUUCAAGACUGUCGGAGGGAGACGAUUCCUUACAGCUGCGGCGGUACCCACAAUUU